GAGAGAGAGAGAGAGAGAGAGAGAGAGAGAGAGAGAGAGAGAGAGAGAGAGAGCGCUCCCACGGUGCUGUGGGAGGGGAACCAAGGGAGGAAUCCCUAUAGGUAAAAAGCAGCAAGAUUUUAACCUUGAGGUUAAUCCCGCCCCAUUCAUGUUUUCAUCCAAUUAGAGGAGUUCUUUCAAACUUCCAUGGGAGAGAUUGAUUUUUGACUUUGACACAGCAUUGCCUACUUGGAUAGCCGCCACCACAGUCCCCGCAGCUCUACCAUUCCUUAAAGGGCUUGCAGCCUGAGUUCCCAGAGCCAGGUGAGAGUUGGCUUCACCAUUGCGCAUGCAUGAGGCACAAGCCACUCCUCGAGUCAUUGUGACGUUCACCGUUGCCAGGCAACUGGCUGCUGACACCUGGCAAAGGAUGAGCACCAUGUGGCAGUGAGUCAGAAAGAAGACUCAGGCCACUCUUCGCCAGGACGUCCACAGGAUACUCUCUGGAGGCCAGGAUUCAUGAAGGGUCGACCAAGAAAAGAAACUUCAGGUGGAGGGAUCUUAGCGGAAGCAGCCCGGAAUCUCUGCCUCGGGCCUGUGCCAAGAGUGUACAGUGGGAUCCAAAAUCGGAUUGGAAGAGGAGUGCAGAGAGCCCAGAGGUCACCGAGAAUUUCUCCUUCAUCGGGAUCUCUUGGAGACCCCCUCAUCCCAGAGCCUUUGGCAGGAAGAAAAGUAGCUGGAGUGAGUGCUGCACAUGUGUGCAGCUGA
rnacentral:lncRNA from 1 species